AUCCCUGCCGGACCCGACGGCUAUCCGGGUAGGACUAAGCCAUGCAAGUCUGAUGGGAUACCUAACUUUCCCAUGGCACAUUGCUCAGUAACGCGUGGUUAACUUACCCUGUGGAGGGGCAUAACCUCGGGAAACUGAGGAUAAUUCCCCCUAUGGGAAGAACCUUGGAAGAGAUCUUCCCUGAAAGGAGCGCGGAAAAUGGUCCGCGUCUCGCCGCAGGAUAGGACCGCGUUCGAUUAUGGUAGAUGGCGAGGUAACGGCUCACCAUGCCUAUAAUCGAUAAGGGCCGUGAGAGCGGGAGCCCUGAGAUGGGUACUGAGACAACGACCCAGGCCUUACGAGGUGCAGCAGGCGCGAAAACUUCGCAAUGCGCGCAAGCGUGACGAGGUUACCCGGAGUGCCUUCGACUCAGGAAGGCUGUGGCGAGUGUCUAACGAACCUUGCUAGAAAGGAGAGGGCAAGGCUGGUGCCAGCCGCCGCGGUAAAACCAGCUCUUCAAGUCGUCGGGAGUAUUAUUGGGCUUAAAGCGUCCGUAGCCGGUUUGGUAAGUUCUUGGUAAAAUAUGGCAGCUUAACUGUCAUUCCGCUAAGAAUACUGCCUUACUAGAGGGCGGGAGAGGUCCGAGGUACUCUAGGGGUAGGGGUGAAAUCCUAUAAUCCUUGGGGGACCACCAGUGGCGAAGGCGUCGGACUAGAACGCGCCUGACGGUGAGGGACGAAAGCCAGGGGAGCAGACCGGAUUAGAUACCCGGGUAGUCCUGGCCGUAAACGAUGCGCGCGAGGUGUUGGCUAGGCUCCGAGCCGAGUCAGUGCCGUAGGGAAACCGAUAAGCGCGCCGCCUGGGGAGUACGGUCGCAAGGCUGAAACUUAAAGGAAUUGGCGGGGGAGCACCACAAGGGGUGAAGCCUGCGGUUUAAUUGGAGUCAACGCCGGG
rnacentral:rRNA from 1 species